rnacentral:lncRNA from 1 species
GUUUAAUGGAGGUCAUGCCCAGCGUGCACUUAUUCUGUCCCUUGUGUGCAGACCUACGUUUGGUUCAAAAGUAGCAGAGGGACCUUUUCAGGAAAUGAUGAGGGUGCCACACCAUAAAAUGGAGAAGAAAUUCAGCCUGAUAAUGAACUGAAUGAAGAAAUUUCAAAUUUCUAAGCUAAAUCUCUAAGCACUAAGUCUGACAGCCAUAAUUUUAGUAGAUUAAAAGUUUAUCCCCAAA